GACGUAGGAUGCAAGCGUUGUCCGGAAUUAUUGGGCGUAAAGAGUUCGUAGGCGGUUGCCUAAGUCUGAUGUUAAAUACUGGAGCUCAACUCCGGCAUGGCAUUGGAAACUGGGCGGCUAAAGUGUGGUAGAGGUCUCGGGAAUUCCAGGUGUAGCGGUGAAAUGCGUAGAUAUCUGGAGGAACACCGGUGGCGAAAGCGCGAGACUGGGCCAUAACUGACGCUGAGGAACGAAAGCCAGGGGAGCGAACGGG
rnacentral:rRNA from 1 species